rnacentral:lncRNA from 1 species
GGUAGUUUUUAGUUUUUGCUUUUGGUUUUUAGAUUUUGGUUUUAGUUUUUAGUUAUUGGUUUUUGGUUUUUGGUUUUUAGUUUUUAGCUUUUUAUUUUUGAUUUUUAGCUUUUUGUUUUGGUUUUUGGUUUUUAGAUUUUGAUUUUGAUUUUUGGUUUUGCAGUAGUUUUUUAAGUUUUUCAAAAAAACAAGUAAUACAUUAUUUUAAAAUAAUACAACAAAAAUACAAAUUAAACAUUUAGAAGUUACUAUUAAAAUUGAUCAAAAUAUUGAGAUUCUUAUUUAAAACAUAAAAAUACAUUAAUGUGUUUUUAAUUACUAUAUUUUAUUAAAAAAACUUACAUUAUACUAAAGUAUAAAUCAUAAAUAUAUCUAAAUUAUUUUUAUUUUUUAAAACUUGAAUGGCAACUUUUUAUUUUAAAAAUUAAUAUAUUCUAUUUGGUUAUUAAAAAAUAUUUUAUGUUUUUAUAAUUUUUAGUUAUUUUUGAAUGUCUAAUAAUUAUUAUAAUUAUUCAAUAAUUAUA